UACGGAGGGGGCGAGCGUUAUUCGGAAUUAUUGGGCGUAAAGGGCGCGUAGGCGGCUUUCUAAGUCAAAGGUGAAAUCCCUCGGCUCAACUGAGGAACUGCCUUUGAAACUGGAAAGCUUGAGGCCGGUAGAGGAGAGCGGAAUUCCCGGUGUAGCGGUGAAAUGCGUAGAGAAUCGGGAGGAACAUCCGUGGCGAAGGCGGCGUCUCUGG
rnacentral:rRNA from 1 species